CGGCACCUCAAGUGGUCAGGAUGAUUAUUGGGCCUAAAGCAUCCGUAGCCGGCGCUGUAAGUUUUCGGUUAAAUCUGUACGCUCAACGUACAGGCUGCCGGGAAUACUGCAGCGCUAGGGAGUGGGAGAGGUAGAUGGUACUCGGUAGGAAGGGGUAAAAUCCUUUGAUCUAUUGAUGACCACCUGUGGCGAAGGCGGUCUACCAGAACACGUCCGACGGUGAGGGAUGAAAGCUGGGGGAGCAAACCGGAUUAGAGACCCCAGUAGUCC
rnacentral:rRNA from 1 species